rnacentral:rRNA from 1 species
GUGUCAGCCGCCGCGGUAAUACAGAGGGUGCGAGCGUUGUCCGGAAUCACUGGGCGUAAAGGGCGCGUAGGUGGCGCCCCAAGUCGAUGGUGAAAGCUCGUCGCUCAACGACGAGUCGGCCACCGAUACUGGGGUGCUUGAGCACUGUAGAGGCUAAUGGAAUUCCGGGUGUAGCGGUGGAAUGCGUAGAGAUCCGGAAGAACACCGGUGGCGAAGGCGGUUAGCUGGGCAGUUGCUGACACUGAGGCGCGACAGCGUGGGGAGCAAACAGGAUUAGAAACCCUAGUAGUCC